CCCAAAGCCAGGAUAAAAGGUUCUCAGGCUGAAGCAUCUCCAGCCACUCACCUGAGGUGCCCACAGACCCUGUACUGCCUGUGACCAGCUCCUGAACACACACCUGCCAAGAUGUCCUGCCAGCAGAGCCAGCAGCAGUGCCAGCCCCCUCCCAAGUGCACCCCCAAGUGCCCUCAAAAGUGCCCUGCCCCAAAGUGCCCCCCAAAGUGUCCCCCUAAGUGCCCUCCAGCCCCUUCCUGCUGCAGUGUCAGCUCUGGGGGUUGCUGUGGUUCCAGCUCUGGGGGCUGCUGUGGCUCCAGCUCUGGGGGCUGCUGUAGCUCUGGGGGUGGUGGCUGCUGCCUGAGCCACCACAGGCCCCGCAGGUCCCACCGCCAUAGACAGAGCUCUGGCUGCUGCAGCCAGCCCUCAGGGGACUCCAGCUGCUGUGGAGGGGGCAGCAGCCAGCAAUCUGGAGGCUGCUGCUGAAGUGGACCCUGGUCCUAGAUGAGCAGAAUUGAGAACUUCCAACUCAGAGGACAUCCUCCUUCUCAGGCCUAGACUCUGGACCUAGAAGAGCAGACUUGGAAGAAGAAAAUAUCCAAAUGUUUUCUCCUCUUGCUCUUUGUCCUGAAUCUGCCCAGUGCUGAGAAGUCUUCUUGAAUGGUCAUGGUGCUGAGAAGUCUCUGCUCAAACUUUUCUAGAUCAUUCUGUGUUGUCCAGGAUCUCAAAGCUAUGCCCCAAACAUCUUCACUGACUUCUUUUACCACAUAUCCUGGUGUCCUAAGGCACAGACUCUAUGUCCCUCUGCACUUUAUCUCUGCAUACCCAAGCAUAAUGUGAAUUAAUAAAACCUGAAUUCUGCAUUUGA